AUUGUUCAUUUCAUCUUUAGUUCUUCUAGGUCCUUCUUAAAUUUUUGUUGCAUUUAGUCCAUUGUAUUUCUAAGAUUUUGGAUCAUCUUUACUAUCAUUAUUCUGAAUUCAUUUUCAGGUAGACUGCCUAUUUCCUCUUCAUUUGUUAGGUCUGGUGGGUUUUUAUCUUGCUCCUUCAACUGCUGUGUGUUUUUCUGUCUUCUCAUUUUGCUUAUCUUACUGUGUUUGGGGUCUCCUUUUUGCAGGCUGCAGGUUCUUAGUUCCUGUUGUUUUUGGUGUCUGCCCCCAGUGGUUAAGGUUUUUUCAUUGGGUUGUGUAGGCUUCCUGGUGGAGGGGACUAGUGCCUGUGUUCUGGUGGAUGAGGCUGGAUCUUGUCUUUCUGGUGGGCAGUUCCACGUCUGGUGGUGUGUUUUGGGGUGUCUGUGGGCUUAUUAUGAUUUUAGGAAGCCUCUCUGCCAAUGGGUGGGGUUGUGUUCCUUUCUUGCUAGUUGUUUGGCAUAGGGUGUCUAGCACUGUAGCUUGCUGGUUGUUGAGUGAAGCUGGGUGCUGGUGUUCAGAUGGAGAUCUCUGGGAGAUUUUCGCCAUUUGAUAUUAUGUGGAGCUGGGAGGUCUCUUGUGGACCUGUGUCCUGAAGUUGGCUCUGCCACCUCAGAGGCACAGCAGUGACUCCUGGCUGCAGCACCAAGAGCCUUUCAUCCACAUGGCUCAGAAUAAAAGGGAGAAAAAGUAGAAAUAAAUAAAUAAAGAGGAUAAAAUAAAAUAAAGUUAUUAAAAUAGAAAAUAAUUAUUUAGAAAAAAAAAAUUUUUAAGUAAAAACAAACAAAGAAACAAAAGAAA